ACCUUCCAAGUCAUUUUCAUCUUGCUUUUUUGAUAAAAUUGCAAUGCAUAUUCUUUUUUCUACUGGAUUAAAAAAGCACUCAAGGCUGAGCCCUAAUAUAAACCUAUCCUUAUAGGAAAGUCCUUUGUCUCACCUCCAAGGAGUUCUAACACUAGUAAUUACCCCAUCAUACAUGUCUUGUGUAGCCUUAACAUAAGUCAAGAAACGGACACUUUUCUUGGCAUUCCAUCAUAUGUUUUUUCCUAUCAAUAAAAACCAUAUCUAAGUCUUUUCUUUGUUUGUUUUGAUACAUUUUUAUCAAGUCUCAGAAAAGAUAAAUGACUUGUUGUAUACCUUCCUAACAUGAAACCAAAUUGAUUCUCCAAAAUCGUAUCUUUUCUCUUAAAUUAUCGCUCAAUCACCUUUUCCUAUAAUUUGAUGGUGCGACUCAUAAGUUUUAUUCCUCCAUACCAUAGUUUACACAACUCUGAAUAUCUCCCUUGUUUUUAAAUAUAUGAACCAAAUUGCCCCUCUUCUGAAUUUUGCUCAUCUGGCAUUUUCUUAAAUUUCAAAAUCUCAUUAAAUAGAUAGUUAUGUUGAUGAUAAAUUAAUUUUAAAAUAACAAAAGAAAACUGAAUGCAAAAUCAGCUUUAAUAAAAUUUAUUACUCAAUAACUUAAAUUAAUAAUUAGCAAAACUUAUUAAAGGUAUAAAUUUUUCUUGUGGCCAUAGGUGACAUGGGAGCAUUAUUAGGCUAUUUGUCUUGGCUCAUUUGCCUAUGGCCGUGCACGGUCCUGGGUUCUGUCUAUGUCUUGUGUGUUCUUAUAAAUACCUGUAAUUAAGAAUGAUUGAUUAUUGUAUAAAAAAAAUGCACAGACAUUUGUAGCUAUUAAUUACUCUCCCAAGUCAAAGUGUGGUCUUUUAUGCAACCAAAAAGUUUAGGUGUGCUGGAUAUAAGAAUGAAAGGAAAUAUCUAUCAUGUAGAUGUAGAUUGAGCAAGUAAUUGUGACAUGGGUAAUAAAACUUGUAUUUUCUAAAUUUGUUAGAUCAACAUAUCAGGGAGGUGAAAUAAAAGAUAAACAUAUUAUAUUAAUACAUCGAUGCUCAUUUAUUAUGAUUUCAAUUUCAACUGAUGAAUCUGAUGGUUUAUUCUAUAAAAUUAGGGACUAAUUGGAAUGCUGAUUUUAUUUGCAGUUAUUUGCUUUCAUUGAUCUCCAUGUUGAAACCUUAGAUGUGGUUUGUGAUUUGGUGACUUACACAUAUCUUAUGGAUUCUAAAAAUUAGGUGGAUUUGCUAAUUUUCCAAAGUAAGCCCACUGGAUUUUCGAGUCCUAUUUCAUUGCAAAAAUAUUAUAAUUCUUAAUUUGUUCUAGACAGCUCUUCGCGUAUCAAUGGAUAGGUGCUUGAUCAGGUUCAUCUGAACUACUUUUAUUUAGACUUUCACAACCUUUUUAAACACGAUUCUUUAUAUGCAUGUGCUUCUAGAUUUCUCUAAAGUGAUGCUAAGACCCAGUUUUUUCUAUUCUUUUACUUUCACUGUUGAAAUUAAGUCUUGUUUGCUUUGCUAUUUGAACAUUCAUUUGAGCUCACAGUUUUGAUCUUCUUCUCUCCCUCUCUCUGACAUGUGAUGUGACUGCUGAUGUUUUUCAUCCUAUUUUGAGUUUGCAAGUUUGGUCUUUGUCAUUUGGAAAUUUAAUUUCUUGAGCUUUUGGACUUACUAAUGUAGAUGCCAACUACAAGAGCUAAAUCUCCCAAGCUUGGUCGCAAGAAGAGUUCAACGAAUUCAGAGCCAGAAGGAAACCUUAGCAACAAUGCUCGACAAGGUCGUUUAAGUCUGGAUGAGAAAGUGUCUCAGACUAACCCCACUAAAGGAAUUAGUCCUGUUCAUCAAAAGAAGCCACAACGAAAGUCUCUUCCUCCGCAACUGACUUCUGAAAAGACCAGGUCAUCCAAUUCUGCGUCUGUGAGGACCUCAUCUAAGGCAGUGAAUGGUGGUAAAAACUCCUUAUCAAGUGUAACAACUGAAGUUACCACCUUAUCCAAUCCAAGAGAGGAAGAGAAAGUUGAAAUAGCUGCAGCCACUGAAGAGAACAAUGUCUUAUUGAAUGAGACAAGUAAAGCUCUUCCUCUGAAUAUAGAGCCAGAUGAAACAGAAUCUCCUGUGAAUGGUGAUUUAGUCAUUCAAGAGAAACCACAGCUCAACAUGGCGCAAGAACCCAUAGCAGCGGAGCACUAAGCAAACAGCAGGAACAGAACCAAAUAUUAACUAUCAGAUCAAUUGAUCGUCUCAUGAAUGUUAUAGAAGCAUAUGACUGAGAGAUUAUUUAACAAUGAAAGGCUUGCAGAAUUUCUGUGGUUUGCGAUGUCAUUUUGUCUUAAGCAGCAUUGCUUCCUGUGUUUGCUCCUAAAGCUUGCUGGUUUUGUCCUUAUGAUUCUCUCCUCCUUGCAGCAAUGUAUGUAACUAUUUUCCAGGUUGUUCUAGUUGAUGUUUAUUUUAACGUGUAACAUUUGUCUGUUUAGUUAAUAUGUUGGCGAAAAUUUUGAGAAAAGUUUGCCAUUGGUGGCUCAAUCACAUUUUGGAACAAGCCGUGUUGUGGACACUCUUCAUGAACCAUAUGAUUGUGUUAGCUUUGCUUUGUGUUAUUAUGCAUCGAUUUUCAGCUCUGGAUUUUACCUUGUAACCGCAUAUGCAUGUGCAAGUUCAGGCAUAGGCAACUCAAGCAAAUAAGUACUUUUACUUUUAUUACAUGUUGUUAGAGUUCAUUACGCAGAUUUUUAUUUUUUUAUUUUUUUUGCUGAAUUGAAAAAAGUUACUGAGAUAAUAUUAUCAAGUCAACAACUCUAAAAAAAAAUAUUAUCUCACUAUUUUAUAACAUUUAGAUACUAUUUAAAGUAACAUUUGAGCUUAUAAUUUUAUAUAUUUUUUAUCCUUAAUAAAAUUUUUCAUUUUUUAUCUCUAUUAAUAUAAUAAUAUUUAUUUUAAUUGUUAAGCAAUUUAUACUAUUUGCUUUUAAUAAGUAUUUUAUCCAUAAACAAAAAUAAUUAGAGCUAAAAAUAAAUUAAAAAUCUUAAAUUUUGAAUGCCUAAAAAUAUUUUUUACUAAUAAAAAAAUUGUGUAAAAAAACAAAAAUAUAUCUUUUAUUUCAUUUUACUUUUUUUUAAAGUAUAAACUAGUUCAACAAUUAACUUUAUAAAUACUUCUAAAUUUUCCUACAACAUCUUCCUCUCUCCCCAUCAUAAAGAAAACAAAACAAUUAUUCUCUCGGUUCCUAACUAUAAGGUAUUUUUAAAAAAUUUAUUUUUUCUUUUUAGAUGUAUUAAUUAUUAUUUUUCCUAUAUAUUUUUAUUUUUAUUUUUUCUCAGAACAUUAAUGAAAAAUAAAUAAACAGAUAAAGAUAAAAAAUAAUAAUUUUAAAAUAAUUGAUAAAUUUAAUAUAAUUAAUUAAAUUCAAUAUUUUUUUAAGGGACCUAAAUUCGUCAAAUACAAUCCUAUGAUUUACUUUUCCCCGUCACCACCGAGCAUUUUGGGGGACAAAAUUGCUUCAAACAAAAGCAGAUACAAGUGGUCUUGGAAACUCUGCAUUUCACAAAUUGGAUUGAAUUAUACAAUCUUAUAAAAUUAAAAGAGCUUCUAGUCAUUGGCGUUUAUAGUUCAAGAAUAAAACUACUUUUCACAUAAAGAAUCGCGUUCUACGAAGUUGAUUGACUCACCAUUCCAUCAGUGGCUAGGACUGAAACCAAGUAUAUGUCCUACGGUGGGAGGAUUCUUAAAUACUCUGAAAAUAAUUCUAGCAGCAAUUGGGAUUUAACUUAAAUAACAUUAUAUGUAUUUAUCCUGACUAUAAGUUUUAGAAAAACAAAGAUACUAUUCCUAGAGUGCAUAAUAAAUUUUAUAGGACAGGCUUAUAUAUGUCAAAAAUGUUAUAAAACUAAAUUUGUUCAUAUAUUUUUUACUUAUUAGCUUAAAUAUUUUUAACCAACAGUAUUGACAUGAGAAAUCUCUUAAACAUGUGGUAUUUAAGUUUAAUUUUAAAAUAAAUUUCGCUAAUUCUUAUCUUGGUUAAGGAAUUAAUAAACAAAUACAUAAAUAUUGAUAACACUAAAUAUUGGAGUAAUUAUAUUUGCAUACUCACACUUCCUCUUAUCCUUUGACCAUAUUUUUCUUCAUAUCUUUCUCUUCCUUUCUCCCCACAUCACUUAAAUAUUUUAUUGUUUUUUCUUUCUUUCUUUCUUUUUUCUUUCUAUUCCUCACUUCAUUAUACCCAUCCAGCCCAAAUUUAGGGUGGAUAUUCAACAUUUUCCUCUCAAUUAAAAACUUGUUUAUAUUGAAUUCAUUCAUAGUGAUAAAUACAAAAAAAAAAUGCAUCUUAAGAUUAUUUCGUACCAAAAAAAAUGAUUAAUUUUUCGUUUAUUAAUUAAAUGAGAUAAUACUGUAUGAAACUAAAAAAGAUUCCUAACUUUAUAAGAUAAUUGAUUCGUGAUAUAUUAUCAAAGUCUCUAUAAUUAAAAAAUUUAGAGUUUGAUUUUUUUAUCAACGUACUCUUUUAAUUCUUUAUCUUAAAAAAGUUAACAAACAGUAGCAUGUAUUAUUAACGCGUCAAACUCGGUUGUCUGUUCUGUUCACCUUUCUUUGUAUAUUUUUGGUGGUUGGUGGGAGGUUUCGUAAGUUUAAUCCCACAGUAGUGAGAGUUUGUGUGCUUAACUAUCAUUUUAUUCUCAAUAUUAUUAGUUAAAUGAUAAUCAGUUUCCUAUAAAUAUUAGUUAAAAAAUUUAAAGUAAAAAUAUUUUUAUUAAAAGAAAAUUAUAUUAUUUGUGAUUAUUUUUAUGUUCACCUAUAAUUUAUGUAAUAAAUAUUCUUUUCUUUUAACUUUUUAAUCAAUACUUAAAAGAUAGUGAUUAACCAGACUCAUAUUUUUAUUAUGUGUAACCUUGUUCAGUUUCAAUUGAAAUAAUUAACAACUAUCGUGUUCCAAGGGUGCCUGGGUCCUGAUUCCUGAAUAACUGUUGAGUGUCUACGCAGUACAAAUUCUUUGUCAUAAAUGCAAUGCAUGUAUCUUAUUUUCUGGUCGUUUGGUUGCUUUAUUUAUUAACACCAAAUCCAUCACACAAGGUCCCAGUCAUACAACCAAAAGCUGAAUAAAUAAAUAAAUAAAUACUCCCCUCUGACAUUAAAUUUAAGGCAUGAGAGGACUCAUUCUGGCUAUAUAUAUAUAUAUAUAUAUAUAUAUAUAUAUAUAUAUCGGGCUUUUAUCCCAUUAGGUUCUCCAUAAACUUUAUUAGACAAAGUAAACAACAAUACUUUUGAAGAUGAAGGUUGUGCAACCAUCAUUUUUAUUUAUUUAUAAUAAAUUAGCUAUCAUACUGACUAUAAGAAUCUACUUGCUGAUUGUAUAUUAGAUUAAUAUUUGUAUUGUUCCCGCUACACUACCCAUACCAUAGGCAUCAAAGUUGGGCUUGUCUUCCUUCCAGGCUGAACCCAUGAUAAACUAUGAAUAUUAAUGAAGCUUCGUUUGAUAAUGUUUCUUCACUAGCGUUACCACAUGUCCUGUUAGAAAUCGUGUGUAGUCUUUUCAAAUGAUACAUCAAUAGUUGCUUUAUGAGAAUGCAUGUGGAGUACAUGUGCUAUUAUAGAAACUCUGACCCUAUUGUCUUCUACCAAACGAAACUUUGCAUUUGAUUUUAUGCAAUAUUUUACCAAGGAAGUCAGGUCUGGCGACAGCAGAAUUUACUUCACUUUGUUACUGGUCACGGGGUGAAUUGAAUUCUGCACUUGAUCAGCAACACCCAUCUUCCAUUCAUUCUAGUUCCCACCCCGGUUAGUAGUAUUGAACAGUUUUAAAUCUUUUUACAUCAUCUUUCUUAAUAAUACUUUUAAUUACUAAAUAAAAAUAUUAAUUUUGUAUAAUAACAAAUGCAUAUAAGUUAACUUCUACAAAUUAACUUUAGCACAAACUAGUUUUAGCUUACAAGAUAAACUUAUUUCAGUUUCUUCUCCCAUUUUCUUGUCCUAUAAAUUUAUCCAAACAUGGAAAAGUUUAGUUUCAAGGCGAGUUUUUGGACGGGCUUACAAAUUUUCAUUCAUUAUUUUUCAUAAAAUAAACAUAACAGUACAAGGGGCAUAUCUCAGUAAGUAUCAUUACAUGAUAUAGAGGUUACAAUGACAAGUUCCAAAAAAAAUGAAGCCUAAAAAACAAGGGCUUUGGUAGUAAAAAAAACAACCCAUCCCCCAAAGGGAAAAGAUUGUGACGACAGACCUGUAUAAUAACUUGCUGCCAUGACCAAAGCUCCCGAUGACAAAGGCUUCAUAAAACUCUGAAGAACUGCCAAAGUAACCAGGACAACAUCACCACAUAAACUGGAACUUCAACAUGCCCCUUGACUAAAACUUAGACCCAAAAAUCGCGUACAGAGCAUAAGCUCAAAUACGUUAAAAAUUGGGUAAACACCACUGGAAAGACUCGAUACAUGUACUGCUGCAAAGAAACAAGGACAAGGACACACAUGGUGGCAAAACCGAUACAAAACAGUGCUAAAAACAUCGGGUGCCAACACUGGAAAGAAAAAUACCUAACUCCAGAACUCGGUAACUAUGCUGGCAGAGAUAAACAGCCAUUUUGAAAGUGGCAUCCCAUCAACGGAGUGCCAAAAAACUCGUAACAGAUUUCCAAUUAAAGGAAACCUGCAAAAAAGAGGUUUAAAUAUAACUGUAUGCUCUGGAAAAAAGAGAACCGAGUACUGGAUGAUGACCAAGAUCCAUCGCGAAUGAACCCAAAAACACUAACGAUCAACACUAACUAUAAAAGCUGAGGCAUUUUCCUGUUCAGUAGAGGAUGUCACACAUGCAGAGAUGUCCCAGAAGCUUGUCAACUGAGCGGCUGCUGAUUGCAUUGCAAAGCUUGAUAUUUAAUCCAGCAAGGGAACGGCCCAAUUUUUUCAAUGCAGGCACGCUCUUGUCUGAAACCAAUGCGCAACCUGCCAAAGAAAGUACCUCCAGGUUGAACUGUUUUCCUCGGGCAAGGGCUGCGAUACCAGUAUCAGUGAUUGCACACCUGGAAACAUCGAGAUCAGCGAGCACUGGGCAACUACCUGCAAUAGCCAUCAAGCUAGCAUCACUGACUCUUUUACAACCAUCAAGGCUUAGCACCUCGAGAGUCCAUCCAUGUGAGUUAACCAUGGACAAAACUACUCUGUCCGUCAGAUUUACACAACCACUUAGAUUAACUUUAACCAGACCAGCCUCAGAGCUCUCCAGCAGUGGAAGAAACCCUGCAUCUGUUACUCCCUGAAGUCCACUCAAUUCAACAUGCUGAAUCCGAGGACACAGCUUUCCAAGUAAAGCAAGGUUAGCAUCGCCAAAUCCAGGGCAGUCACGGAUUGUUAAUGACCAAAUUGAUUCAGAAGGAGAUAUUGCAGGCAAUUCCAUAUUGAGAUCUUUGAUCCCAUAGCAGCUAAUCAGAGUAAGAACCUUCAAUUUUGCACCACAGUUAAAAAAGACACCAAAGAGCCCAAUUUGGGUAAUUCUGUGGCACUCUUGCAAUUGUAGGCUCUCAACUGAUGGAGCAGCCCUGGCAAACGAUACCAAUCCCUUGUCUGACAGAAAAGCACACUUCCGAAGCUUGAAGUUUUGCACAUUUGGACAACCCCUUCCAAUAGCUUCAAGCCCAACAUCUGUUACUCCUCGGCAGCAAUCAAUUGUGAUUGAAGUUAGUUUCUGCAGUCCAUGGCCAUUACCCAUAACCCAGAACCCUUUCUCACUGACAUUUGGGAGGCAACUUAGGACAAGAUCGGUAACUGCAAUGCCGUAAUGCCCAAUCACUGCUAGAGAGAGAUCAGAAACAUUCAGCGACUCAAGCUUCACCUUUGUUAGAGCAAAAGAAGCUGAAGACAACACACCAGCAACUCCCUGAUCACCAACUCCAGAGCAAUCCUUGAUUGAGAUAGACCUUAGAUUGGGACACUUCCCAAUAGCUUGUAGACCUUCAUUGCCAAUGUUAGGACACGACUCUAUUGAUAACUCAGCCAGCUUUGGACAGUUCUUUGCAACUGCAAUUAAAGUCUUGUCAGAAAUAUUAGGACACUUGCAUAGGUCAAGCUUCUCUAACCGGUGACACCCGCUAGCAAUCUCAAUCAAGCCUUCAUCAUCAACAGUAGCAACAUCCCAUAGAGAGCAAACCUUUAGAGAAGGGCACCCAUGAGCAAUUGCCUUGAGACCUACACUAGUCACCCCACGAUCUGAAUUGCAUCCACGAAUUGUAAGCUUCCCCAACCCUCCUCGAGAGGCUGUCCCAAUGGCAAUGGCAGCAAGUCUUACAUCUGUUGCCUUCUUUCCCUCCAAGCUUCGGGAUAGGUAUCCUUCAUCACUAAUUUCCUGAUUUUCAUUUCCAGUACUUUCGUUGCUGUAAGUUUCAUUCUUACAAAUACUGCUCAGAAGCAUAAGCCAGCGCUUGGAUACAGAAGCGCAGACACUCCUAUCUUGGCCUGCAGGCAACCUUCUAAGGAUCUCAAAGAGGCAUUCAUCUGGCAAAGAUUCAAUAGAUGUCUUAGGCUUCUGCUCAAACCAUUCUCCACUGAUAUCAAAUGGAACACUGAAGCGAGACCUCUUCUGAAGAGGAAGGUAAACAUCAACUUGACGGCCAAGAGACAAGAAGAGACACGGUUCCUUCGGGUUAGGAUAAAUAGGACCCCCAUGAUAAAAAUCAUCAUUUCCUGAAAAACCAAACAUGUCGAAGGUCAAGAUGGCGACAAAACUACACAUAAAUAAAUAAAUAAAUGUGAAUUCACACAAGUAAAACCACAGAACGGAUCUAUUCAAUAAGUGACAGGCUUCAACAAACAAUAGAAACCAGAUAUUUUCAUGAAGCCUUUAAAGGCAACAGCUGGCUCAGGUCAACUAUGAACAAAAUUGCUGAUCUCACUCAAAAGUUGAACCUUCUGUUAAGUGAUCUCAAAAACAAGAUCCAAUUUCCAGUAAAGACUACACACACACACACACACAAAUGACAGACCUUGAAUCUCUCCCCAUCUCUCAUCAGAUCCACCGUGAAAAACAAAAAUUCAAAGAAUUCAUCACUCAAAACCCAAAUAAUAAUUUUUGGCCAACCAAACAACAAAAUAAACAUAAAUAACCCAAACUUCAAUUUCAUAUCUAAGGCAGCCUCCAAAUAACAACCACAACCAAUCAAAAAAAUUCACAGAAAUACAUAUACAACAGCCAGACCUAUGAAUCGGCAAAAACAUGCGAUCAAACAAAAAGCUUACCGGUAAAGCUGAAGACUUUAGACAUGGGCACAGUUCAAAAAACCCCGGGAGGUGAAAUCUGCUCUGUUCCACACAAAAGAAGGCUUCAAAGACAGCGAAGAAGAGGGCAACGAAGAAGAAGAACUCGUGAGAGCAAAAAUGCAUGGAAGAGAGGGAGAGAAGGAGGAAACCCUAUGAGAUAGGGCAAAAAAAAAACAGAGAGAGAGAGAGAAAGUGGUGGAAAGAGAAAUGAAGGUCUUGGGGUAGUGAAAGAGAGGUCGUUUUAUUGCAAACAGAUUCGAGUGCACUGAAUGGGAACGUUCCCAAGUGCAAUGUAUCUGAACAUACAAAGUGGGGUUUCUUUGUAUUAUUCUCCCACAAAAUGAAUACCAGAUACCACAUACAUAGUGGUUUUCUUUUCCCCUUAUUUUCAUAUCUUGUCUGGUAGGGGAUGUUUGGGUGAACGAAUGUUGCACAAGCUAUUAUUUUGGAAAGGUAUGAUAAUUUACUGAAUCAGUAUAAUCUCUCUAUAGCACAUAUUUAGUGUGCGUUUGAAUUACAUUAUAAUAAAAUUGAUUUUGAAUGAAAUUAAUUUUAUAAAAUUAAUUAUGAUUAUAAUUAAUUAUGAAGUAACAUAAUUUUUGUUUUGAUACCAGUUAUUAGAAAAAGUUAUUUUUUUAAAAAAAUAUAUGAUUUAAAUACUUUGAAUUAAAAUUGAUUUGAAGUGUCAUGAUCAAUGUGUUUUAUGUUUAUAUACACUUAAAAUUAAAUAAGCAUGAUUAAAAUUAAUAAAAAUAUGUGUAUAAUAUGCUUUUUGAAAUAGAACCACUCCUUUUUACAAAACAUUAAAAUUGAAUAGAAUAGAUAAUAAAAGUAUUAAAUUAGAACAAACAUUAAAUAUAAAUGUAUCUAAAUUAAAAAGUAUAAAUAAGAAAAAUAAUAAACAUAUGCAUGAUAAUCAAACACAUGUAAUUUUUUUUUUAUUAUUUCUCCUUAUUGCUUCAAUUUUAUCAUUGAUUUUUUUCAUCAAAAUUAAUUCUACCAAGAUAAUCAAACACAUGUAAAAUUUUGGCCAAAAUUAAGUUCGACCCAUUUGAUCUUGUUUCACCUUGAUUUUAAAGUCAAUCAAAAUACUUUUUUUUUUUACUGCAAUCCAAACACACACUUAAUAUUUGAAUUCUUGUUUAUCCAUUAAUAUAAUUUUAGGUAAAUGUUUAUUUAUUUUAUUCAAUUUUUUUUUCAAAACUAGUUAUGCAUUUAAUUUGUAUUCAUGUUUUUCUAAAAGAAAAAUUAACCAAAAUACACACUUAAUAUUGCUAUAUUACUUUUUCUAAACUUAUAUAUAUAAAAAUGUCUGAAUUUAGUGGAGUAAAAUAUAAGCAAUUUUUUAACUAAUUUAAUUUUAUUUAAUUUCAUUAUUCUAAAAAUACCUUUAAGAGUUAAUUUUUUUAUAUAAGUAGGAAUUUGUAUUAAAUUUAUAUAUUUUGUUCAACCAACUGAACUAAACUUUUUUAUCCUUUAAGUUAAUUCAAAUGUGUGGUGAGGCUAUCUCCAAUAGAUAUGAUUAAGGAUAGUUUAUAAAAUAUAUUUUUUUCACGUGAGAUUAAGAAAAUUAAACAAAUUUAACUAAUAUGCUUAAUCAUUGCAAAAUUAACUAUGUUUGCUUGAAAGGUGUACUGUGUUUUUAUAUAUCAUAAUUGGUACGCAUUAAGUUUGUAAGAGAGGUUUAACUUAAUUAGUUCAACAUGAUCCCUGAGUUAUCGGUUGAAUCAAAAUGAUAUUCAUUCAAAAUUUAUUUUUUUGGAUUUAAAAACUAUCAAAAGAGAGGACUUUUUUUAUAAAAAAAAGUAAAACCAGAGAAGAAAACAUUAUUAUAAUUUUGAUUACAAAUUUAUUGUGUUAAUCCACCCUAAUAUUUCCUCCGUGACUUUCAAAUUUAAUCCCAAAAGGCCAAAACAUAAAAACUUUGGAUUUCAUGCCUUCCAAAAUAAGUUUUGAUACUGAAAUUACAUAAUGGUAUGGAUUCUAUACCAGAAAACAAUAAAUAAAAAUGUUAAAAAAAUAAAGUAAAUUAUACUUGGACUUCCUAAAAUUUUGUGAAAUUACACAAUUUUUCUUAUUUUUUUAAUAUUUACAAUUCCCUGGAAACAUGCUAUAAUGUUUUAUUAAACAAUUAAGAUGGAUUAUAGUAAUAUAUAAGGAGUGCUUGUGUAAUGUUUUUCAACCAGUUAAAGGAAUCAGUGUGAGGGUAAAAAAAAGCAGAACAAAUUUAUAUAAAUUCACUAAAUCUCAUGAAUAUUUAAUGUAAUUUACUAAAAAAUCCUUCAAUAUGCAUGUUAUAAGUUCAUGAUUUCAUUCAUUUUUAGCGGUAUUUAUUUACAAGGCAGGUCCAAUGAACAUGGAGACAUAAAGGAAAUAUUAAAAUUAUAUAUUUUAAUGAAAUAAAUUAAUGAAGUUAAUUCAUUCAUUUUUACAAGUUUUUAUUUACAGAGUAGGUUCAACGAACAUGGAGACAUAAAGGAAAAUUUAGAAAUGAGAUAUGAUUUAUAGUUUUAAUAUAAAUUUAAUGAAAUGAAUUUAUUAUUUAUUCUAGUUUUAACGAAGUUAAUUAAUUAAUUAAUUAAUUCAUUUAUUUAAUAAAUAUUUUAAGAAUAAAAAAAUAUAAAAGAUACUUAAAUUAGAAGUUAGUAUUUUAAAAAUAUUAUAAAUUACUAAAUAAAUUUAUUUAAUGAACAAUAAAAAACCUUUUCGACUAAAAAAAAGCUAAAAACUAAUUAGAUAGCUUGUCAAACAUAACCUUACUUAAUUCCAAAACAUGUGAACUUUGGAUUUCUUGCCAUACAAAAUAAGUUUUGAUACUGAAGUUAAAUAAUGGUAUGGAUUCUAUAUAAAAAAAAACAAAAAUAAAGUAAAUAUACUAACAUCUCUUGAAAUUUUGUGAAAACACUAAUUAUUCCAACACUCCUUAUAUAUUAUACUAAUUCAUCUUAAUUGUUUAAAAAAUAUUACAACAACGAAUGAUUUAGUUAACUUCAUUAAUCUAUUUUAUUAAAAGAUAUCAUUUUAAAUUUUUCCUUUAUGUCUCCAUGUUCAUUGAACCUACCUUGUAAAUAAAUACCGGUAAAAAUGAAUGAAAUCAUGAACAUCUUAUUUUUAGUAAAUUACAUUAAGCAUUAAUGAGAUUUCAUGAAAUUAUAUAAUUUUUUUAAAAGUAACUAUUAUAAAAUUAUUUUUUAUACAUGUCAAUUUAUGAUUAGACAAGAGUAAAAAAAAUUACUGUUUUCAAUAUAUUUAAAUUAAAUUCUUGGUAUACCUAUUAAUUUAAAAGUUUCGUUUAAAAAAUAAUUUAAUUAAAAAAUUAGAAUGCAAUGUAUCGCAAAUUAGGGGACAACUCUUAUUUUCUAUAGGUUAAUUUUUAGGGUUAAGUUAGACACAAAUUUAAAGUUUAAGAUUAUUAGCCAACUUAACUUAAUUAGUAUAGUUUAGCUAAUUAGAGUUACUAAACUCAGUUUAGUUAGUUAUACCAAGUUAGUUAGAGUUGGUUGGUUAGUUGAGCUAUAGUAUAUAAACUCUUGUAUCAACUUCUCUCACAAUUAAUCAAUAAUAGCAAGUUGAUCGAUUCUGCUAACUCAUCUUCUGUCCUCUUCUUUACACUGCAAGCUACUGUAGUUUUUCUCCUCCAUGUUCAUGGUGAUAUUUGUGAAAGAUUAUAUCAUAAUAUCUGUUAGGACAAAAGAUAAAUGAUGUAUUCUUAAUUGUUUUGAUUUAACAAAUAAAAUGCCUUAUGUAAUAAGAUAUAUUCUAUGAUCAACAAAUCAAGUGUUUUGAUUAAUAUACCUAAAAUCAAAAUGUCUUUUAUAAGGAGUUAUGAAAUAAGACUCAUAAUUUAGAUGAAGUACUAUGAUCAUUACAUAUCCAUGUCUUUUAUUGUAUGUAUGUAUAUCGUCUGUCUUAGAUGCAUGAUUUUUUUGAAGCACACAAUUAGUUGUAUUCUGAUCGAGUAUCUUAUACGAGAAAGUGCAAAACUGUAAAUAGGAAGGUCAACAAAGUAUAUUACAUAUCAAAAGGCUUGCUUAUGAAUAAGAAAGAGAAUGUCAAUAUACUUUCUUAUUCAAAAGGAAACAUCGUCUCUACCACAAGAUUUCGUGGAUGAGAAAUAAGAGAUAACACAUGAUGCCUUAUCUUAUUAAAAUAACUAAUUGGUAAAAAAAUAACAUUAAAUGCUAUGUUAAAUGCUUUAACCACCAUUUUUCUCAUCUUUUUAAAGACAGACAAAAAAGAUGAAGGAAACUCUCUGAAAAAGCUCAUAAGAAAUAUAUUUCAAGAAGUUCCUAUAAAUACAAAAGAAUAUUAAUUUGUACAAGAUAUACAUAAAAGAGUUGGCAUUGUUGAAGAGUCUCAGUGAUUGCUUUUUUAAGCUCUAUAGACCUUGUAAAGUUUCCUUGUAGUUAGUUGUAAAUCUAAGAGAGAAAAUACUAGUGCUUACAGUACUUGUAAUAUAAGUUAUUCAUUGAUUGUUCUCUCUCGGGUUCGCACGUAUUCUUUAGUAUGUCCAAAUUCCAGGUUCGUUGCUUGGAGGUAAAUAUCACCACACCAUCCUUUGUUUAUAUACGAGUCUUUUGCCUGCCAACUAAUUUUGACCCAAACUAGGGACUUUCCUGUAAUUAUAAUACCAAUCAUGCUCUUUCACCCCACAAACAUGCAAUGUACUUGGAUUAUUAUUAUUAACAUAGCAUAACAUAAUAUAAACAGAAAGUGAUCGCCUUUGCCCUUAUUCUCGAAUAUUGUCGUCCACUUGGGUUAAUAUAUAGUGAUAGUUUGCAAGUCAAUUCCCUUCUUGAAAUCGCAACCUUGGACCUAGCUAGGGCUGAAAAAUCAAUAUUCCAAUAUCUUUCGUGCGAUAUGAUGUUGCCAACUCAUCCAAGAUUCGCAAGUGUGGUGCUGCGUACCUGCUGUAUUUGACUAUUCUAAGGUAUCAUCCCUUGCUUCUUUGCAAUGCUUUUUUUAUCCUCCAUAUUUUUCUUUUAAUUUGUUACGUUUCCCCCCUUUUAGGUUAAUGAUAAUAAUGAUUAAAACAGUCAACUUGGAAUAGAAGUUUAUUUACGCUGAUGAUUGUAUAUUUGAAUAGUGAAUAAAUAAAAAUUAAUUUAAAAAUUUAUAAAAGUUAAUUUCUGAGAAAAUAAUUAACUAAUUUAUUUAUUUUUAUAUUGCGAUUCUGAGAUUUUGUUCUUAAACAUGGGCUAUUUUCUGUUUAAUUUUUUUACACAUGAUUUUAUAAUUAUUUAAUAGUAUUUGUGUUUUUUAAUUUUAAAUUUAACAAUUUCAUCAUGACUGUCUCACAUUGUCAGUAUUCUCAUGAUCAACUAUAUCGUUGUUGUUGUUGUUGUCAUUUUUACUGUUCUUACUGUGACAUUUUUUUCUAUCAUGAUUACAUUGUUGCGAAGGAUACAUCUUAUGUAUACAAAAGAGUGUUGAUUACAUAGUAAUGGAUUUGGCUUCUCAGCUGUCCCUUUAAAAUUAUAUAAUUUUCAUGAUUUUUAAAAUUAAAUGUCACCAUUAAAUAUUAAUACAGUUGUUAUGCAGUCAAAUUGAUGAGGCAACACGAGAACAAUAUACAAAGGGACAACAAAGAAGUCAAAUCCCCAUUACUAUAUAUCAACUUUAGUUCUUGAGCACUUAUAUUACCAUACUAGUAAUUAUUAAGACACGUUUAAAUCAAGAAUCAAGAAACAUGUUAACCAGCCUUUAGGUCCAAUUUGGAGGCUACAGGCUCACGAUUAUUUAUUCUGCAGUUCUCUCUUUCACACCCCUCUUGCUGAUUUUUUUUCUUCUUGUUUUACAAAAUCACAUGCAACGUAACUACAUGCUAAAAACUGAAAUUCAAGACUAUUAAUGAAGUUAUAAUAACUUGGUCUUAAUCUAUUCACAUGCAUGUUAUAAAACCCUUUAGGUGUUUUGUCACUCGCUGCCGUAUAUUUUGUCUCACUCUCCUUAUUAUCUUUGACUCAAUGUUACAAAUGCUGCCUAUGAAGCAACAUCACCAUGGUGCUGUACGUCUGUGACACACAAAAUAAAAUAAAGAAGCGUGCCGUUUCUUCUUAUUUCUCAUGCCAUCACAUUCACAACAUCAUGCCACUAUAAGUCACUAUCGGAAGCACACAGAAUUUCUUCUUUCAAAACUGCUAUAACAAAUAAAAAAGUUUUGCAGAAGUUAGCAUUUCAUUUCUUUAAAACCAUACAUUAUAAUUUAUUAAUGAAUAAGAUUUUGGCUUCACAUUUUAAUUUAUAUGUGUAUAUUUUUAUUAUAAUUUCAGAUAUUAAUUUUUUCUAAUAAAUAAUUAUAAGUGUAACACUGUACUUUAUUUUUCAAUUAAUAUACACAUUUUCAUUUAAUAGAAUGAUAGAACACAAACUCUUAAUAUUUAUCGCACCACCAAUAAAAUAUUAUUAACAUGCAUGACAAAAUUUAUUAUAUUUAUGCCAUUUGAUUUUAUUAUUUAAACUGAUUUUCUAUGUAAAACAUUUUUAAUUUAAAAAUCGUCAUUAACCCCAGAUGUUAUAGACUUCGUCUUGGCAAAGUUUGAAUUUACCAUCCUGGGAGCUUUUAGAAUUUGAUGCAGUUCCUGAAGUUUAUUUUCUUCAUUUUGUCAACUGACAGUGCUUGUGUUUGUUUUCCCCUAAAUUCUAUUUAAUUUGGGCAGGUUGUCCAUCACGAUCUUUUUAUGUGGAAAUUAAUCUCCUCUUGCGUGAAACUAUGACUACGCCACUUUAACAACUAAAUCAAAUUAAAACAAGAUGAAACGUCAGAAUUUAAAAGUGACACUCCUAGUCCUAAGUUAGAACGCAUAUAGAUUCUGCUUCUGCUUGAGGUGGAAUUUGACAGUAUCCUUAUUCCUUGGAACUUUGUUUUCUGAAAUCUAUACAAAAUUAGAAAAGAGAUGGUAGUCUUCUACUGAGGCAAGAAACAGAUCCGUGUUCGCAUGUUUUUUAUGGUAGAAUUUUACUUUCAUGCUAAUAAAUUCAUUUUCUCGUCUGUUAUUAUAAGUUUUUAUUUAUUGAAUUGUUGCAAGCUCCUUUCAUGACAAAAGCUGAAACCAUAAUACAAACUGCUAUUACUUAAUGUUUUUAGUUAAUGUACAAUUGAGAGUACUGUUUUUGCAGCAUUCUCUAAUUCCACUCAAAUCGGAUAAGAAAUAACAAAUGGCUCAAGAACAUAAACAAGUCCUUCUGCUGAUAAAACCUCUCGUGUUAGUUCUCAAUAUCAGCACUUAGGACAGAAGCUUGCAUCAGGUGAAGCAUGAAAUUAACAUGACAUAUAUUUUUAAUUUCCGUAAUGAUUUUAGUCAUCUAUUUUUUUUUAUUGGUUUUAAUUUUCAUAAUUUUUUUUUAAAUAGUUCUACUUACCAUUUAUUAAUGACGUGACAUGUAUCCAAACACGUCACCUUAAAAUGGUUAUUGACACGACACAAUUAGAUACAUACCACUUCAUCAUUAGGUGAUGAUAAGGACCUUUUUUUUUAUAAAAAAUAUGAGGACCUAACUCAAUAAAACAAAUUGGAGAACUAGAACUACGCUUAAAUAUAUUUACAAUAACUAUAAACAUAUUCAUAUGUCCAUGAAUCACCUUAAUCAGAGAAUUACACAAUUGAUUACUCCCCAGGAAUAUAUUUUUUAUCAAAACACAAAUUGGUGUAAUAUACUUAACGUAGAAAUGACGCCCCAGAAAGAAUAAAUAAAACAAAUUAGUUAAGAGUUUCCCCAUUUAGCUUUAAAAAUAAAAUAAAGUUUCCCCAUGUAUGUACAACUAUCCAGUGGGGAUAUAGUAGGAAGAACAAAUUCUACCUCCCUCUCCCUCUCCCCUAAGAAAUCUAAGAAGAAAAAAACCUGAUUUGUCUGCUUAGUCAUAUAGGCCUUCCAUCUCCCAAAUAUCAACAAGAAAAUCAACCAUUUCCUGUCAGGUAUGAUAUUAUAAUCAGUUAGGGCUUAGGGGGCAUGCAUUUACUGAUUCCCUUGUACAUGAAUAUCAACAAAAAAUAACCAAGUUAUAAUGCAAGAAAGAGAAUAAAUCUUCUCAUGUUCAAAUUUUAUAAAACAAAGUCAUGUGUUUGUCUCUAAUAUUUCUUUCUUGAUAAACAUUAAAUGAGUGGGGCUUUAUAAAAAUUAUUAAAGAGAGAAAUAGAUGCAAAACUUGUACAUGACCUGUCAUGUACAUGGACACGAGAGGAGACAUUCCAAUGAAUGCAAGAACUUACUCCAAGAGGAAUUGGCCGGGGAAAAGGCUUGUUGGUCCCCAUUAGACUCUCAUAGGUGGCAUUCCAACUGUAAAGCAAAAACUAUAGAAUUAGAACUUGACAAACAUUUUGAAAAGUGACUUUGAUCCCUGGAUUGAAUGCUAUAGCUAUAGACCAAUUCCCUAUUUGUAUUGAAAUUUGAAAAUGCUCUUGCACCUGAUCCGUGCAUAUCUUACUUACUGUGGAAGAUUUUUAUGGUCAAAACAAUAAAAUUCCCACUAAUCAAUGAAAUAACAAGCACAGACCAAGGAACAACUGACCAAAGGAAAAAAUCAUGCAAUACUAUCAAUCUGCCUUGCGAAAUGUUCAUUUUAGAUUCUACAGCUCAAUAGUUAAGACUCCCCGAAGAAAGCUUAUAUAUUUAUUUACCUUAUUAUAGGUUCUCCAACUUGUUUCUUAUUCUCAUGCCUUCUGUUUCCAACCCACUGUCGUCUCAUCUGGUUCCAGAGAAGAAGACCUGCAUACAUUGCAAUAAUAAUCAGCUGGAGAUAUGCAAGAAAAUGUAAAAAAUGCAAGAAUGAAAGAAAUAUUCUAGAAUAGAUGCAGAUCAAGGAAAAUACUGGAAAGUAGUUUUUAACUUCAAGUUCCAUAAAUGGAAAUUACACAUGUAAUUAAAGAGAUUACAUCAAGAUGAAAGAAAACACAGUUUACAAGGUACAAAGAGAAAGGAGUAAUAUAACAAGACAAUAUGACAAUCAGUGUCUGUGUAACCAACUUGCCUGAGGGAGAGACAAGAGAAUGAAAGGAAAAAGAAAAGCAUAAAGUGGCUGCUGCAUUGCAGAACCAGUGUUAAAAGUGUGGAAUUCAAGCUAUUUCAGGGCAGUGGGAUUGUAACUGUCCCUCCAGGGUCAAGAUGUUGAAUAUGAAAAAUCUAUGACAAUAUUAAGAUACCUGACAGUUAGCAAAUAAGUCUGGCAUGAUUCUAUUAACAGUUUGAGCAAGAUUGUUUCCACAUCAGAGAAAAUGGCUACCAGGAUGAUACAAGAUUACAAGCACCCUUUGAUAACGUAUGAGACUAACUAAUAAGCCAACAGAGAUAAUAGAUAAGCAGACUAUAACAGAAUACUUGCCAUGAUUGACAUAUUCAGAAGAAUCAAUCUGAAUGUCAGCACUACUUUGAGGAUCAGAAGGUAUGCCAAUUGAUGAGAUGCUUUUCUGGGACUGAAGUGCACUCUGAUCUAUUUCAAAUGCGCUGCUGCUCCAAAAAUCUUCUGAUCUGUUGUCUUUAUUUGUUGCAUGGCCUUUUGGAUUUGGGAAGCAUCCCAGACAACCUCUGCUCUGUUGCAAAGCAGGUUUAACCACAAGCUUGAUUAACACAAAUUAUUAACUAUAAUUAGCCUAUGAGCUUGGAUUAAAAGAAGACGAUGUUGUGACAAAGAAUUGCAGGAACCAGCAGUUCUUUUAUAAGUUUGUUUUUAAAUUAUAAACUCUCUAUGAUAACUAUUUCCUGCACAUAUAGAUAAAAAGAAACAACCUCUCCCUACAGAAUUUUAGGGUAAGAAAUAUGGAAAAUGAUAAAGGGACCUGCUAUAUAUUGGAAUGAACAAAAAGUUCACAUGGGCAGCAAGAGAGAAUAAUCAAGGGGUUAUCAAUUAAGAUAGAAUCAAUAAGCAAAGAUAGAACAAAAAGCCAACCCAGGCUUAUGAUAAGAGGCCAGGAAUAUAACAUCAGGUUCACCUUUAAAACCUUCAGAGAUGCUCAGAAACAACUUCUUUGUCUUUUAUUUCUAUUUUAUCCACCAAAAUCCAUGAUAUUUAGCAGAAAGAUACAUCUUAUAAAAUGGUAAGAAGAUGUCUUCAAUUUGAGCAACAAUAAAUUUCCUGAAACUAAUUUCUCCUAAUACUGAAAAGGUCCCAGUAAUUGGGGCCUUAUCUGUUCCAUGGCAGAAAGCAGAAGAACAAAAGCAAGCAUGGCAAAACAGUAAAAAUGAACAACAAAUUUCUUCGUGGAGCAUCUUCUCGAUUGAGUUAACAAGCAGCACCUAGAAUACUAUGAAACCCUAUAGGGACAGAGAAAUUCUAUGCUUCAUAUUACCAGCAUCAGAGGAAUACAAGAGUAACAAACUGUAAAGCCCCAUCAAGUUUCCCUGAUCUCCAGAUCUCACACUUGCUUAGAAAGCAAGCAAGUACAAACAAAGAUUCCCAUAUAUAAUUUAAAUAAUUACUAAAAACUAGAGAGAAAGAUCUAAAACUAAAUUACCCAGAAGAGGCAAAACAGUAUAAAAACAUCAAACUUUCAGUUUCAUAUAAUUAGAGAAGUAUAAAAUCAGCAACACCCCAUCAACCAAGUGAAGCAACCAUUUCAAUGCUUUCCUUUGAGGCAAAGGCAAGUGAUCUUACAUCCCAAUUUCUAAGUUCAUUUUCUUCCCUUAAAUUGUUCCAAAACCAAAGACCCAAAACUCACCGAGGAAUCUGAGCAAACUACAUAUUUAUUGAAGGGAUCUCCUCACGGUUUAGUCAAAUUGGGAAGAACAUACAAGUAUAUUGAUGUGAAAAAUUCAAUCUUUUAUAAUUUUUCUUUUCUGGGACCAAUGAAACAAGGAGAGAGAGAACAAAUAAGUUACCCCAUGCAAGCGAGAAUCUGACAGAACCAAGGUGGAACAUAUCCACAGAUAUGCAUUUAUGGAAGUCCGAGCAGAGAUCUGUCACCUAAAAUUCUGAAUCCAGGACGAAGAUCACUCAGGAACCUGCAUGCACAAUUUCAUUCUUUCUUCUUUUUUAAAAUGAAAAUUGAAAAAGCAGAGAAUCUCUUAUCAGAAUUUAAUAAAGCAAAAUAGUACUAACAAAUAAUAAACGGGGGGACAAAAGCCUUUAUUCUAGUUGUUUGGUUCUUUGAAUUAAGAUAAUAAAUCAAUAGUAAAAGAUAAAUAUUGGAACAGAAUCAACAAAUUCAGUAAGAAACCUCAAAUUCUGCCAGUUUGGUUACACAAGCGAACCAUGGAGUGAUUCAGAAAAGAAGCCUCAAAGAUGACAAUGACAUGCACGAAGGGAAAUUUCAGUGCCCCUUCCUGAAAUCAAGGGUUUAUUUUCAAAUGCUUAGAUAAGAUGAAUGGAAUUUUGUGCUCUAGAAUGGGAAAUAGAGACGGUAAGCCAACAACAUUCUUUUCUUUUCUUCAAUUUUUCUUUCAGAAUGUUUACGAGAAUCUUUAAAUCCAUAAUUAAUUAGUUAAAGGCAUUUUUUUAUAUAAAAAGUUAUGAAAAUCAUAAAUUUUUAUAUAUUUUUUAAAUUUAUUUAUCGACUUCUUAACUACUAUCUUAAAAUAUUCAUUAAAAUAUUUUUAAUAAGAAAUUUUGCGUUUUACUUUUCAAUUCAUUUUCAUGAGACAAUUCUGUGUACCCCUAUUAGACCAAAAUCUACUUGAUUAUGAUAUUAUAUAAAUAAAAAAUAAAAAAUGUAAAAUAACGCUUCCUACUCAUAGGUAGUCAAGCUUUAAAAUGAAAGAAAUUAAGGAGGAAAGUUUAAAUGGUAUAUGUUUAAUUUUUAUUUAAGUUUCGUUUAAAAUUUGAGUAUUAUAUAUAAAAAAUUCACUAAAAAACUAUAUAUGAUAAAACAUAUCUAUGAUCUAAAAAGAAUACAUUCUCAUUGUAAAGUAUUUGAAGUUUUCGUUAAGAGAGAAAUUAAAAAAAUAAAUGUUAGUAAAAUAUUUAAAAUAAAUAAAAGAAAAAGAGAACUCUCUCAAUAUAUGAAUACAUGGUUUUGAUGAUGUCAAAAAAUAAUCAAACAAAGUUACUUUCAAUAUUACUUAACAAACAUUUAAAGGUUAAGCAUUACUUCAAGAUUAAUACAAGUUGUUUCAACAAACAAACAUUAUUUCAAGAUUAAUUCAAGAUCAAACUUUUGCCUCAAAAUAAAGUGUUUCCAAGAUACAAGGUUUUGGUAAUCGAUUACUAAAAGACAAUUUUGAAAAACAAUUUUUUAAAAGAAUUUUAAAUUUGAAUUUUGAAUCAUGUAAUCGAUUACCAGAUGUUUGUAAUUGAUUACCAGCAACAACACUUCAGAAAAACACUUUGAAAAGUCAUGACCCUUCAAAAUAUAAUCGUGUAAUCAAUUAGGAUCUUCAAUUUGUAUCAUGCACUCUAAAGGGGUGAAAUCUUUCUGUUCAUCUCACAAAGUGAGUUAUAAUCAAGAGAUUGGUUGUCUUUUGAAUUGAGAGAAUUCAAAGUCUGUAAAGGGGAUUUAAAGAGAUAGUGAAAAAUCUCAAGUGAGUUGUUUGAGGACUAGACAUAGACAUGAGAAGUGGCUGAACCAGUAUAAAUCGAGUUUGCAUUUUAUGUUUAAAAAACAUAAGACGUUACAUUUAUUAUUGUACCAAUGGUAAGGAUCCUUUUAAAUAAGUUCUGAUAUCAUCUUAUGGAUGUGCAUUUGGACCUAACUCAAUUCUAAAAACUAACUAAUCUCUCACUUAUAUAUUCUAUCUUGAUUUUAUCUUUAAUCAAAGUGGGGUUUGGGUUUUUUCGAAUAUCAAUCCCAAUUUCAUAUGCUUGCCAACCAUGUGAACUCCUUACGAAAUGGUUUUCAGUGUAGAUAAAGUUUUUGGCACGUCGAAUAGCAUUUAUAUAAGCAUCAUGAAUGCUUCUAUCAGUGAUGUUAUCUUUCCCACUAACAAGGCCUAAUUCAGCCGCGUCUUCGGGAUCUUGGGGGAAGCCAGAAGCAGCACCACCAUCAAUGGAUCUGAACAACUGAACAUUCCAUGUCUCAUUUUCAUUUGUUGUUGCCACCGUGGAUCGAGGGACAAAGUACUCAUCAAGCUUGCUUGAAGAGAAUAGGAGCUGAUUCCCAACCUGCUUCUCCCACCUUUGUUGAAAAUUGAGCAAAACAUCCCAAGCAACAGACCCUUCUAACAUGCAAUGAAUGUCAUGUCAUGGCUCUCUUGGACUACCUUUCUUGAUGGAAGCACCAGAGAAAUUUGGCUGAUGGAAAUCAUCUUUAUGCACUGUAUCCAAAGUUGAAAAUAGAGGAUGUUCCUGAAUAUCAUAUCUCCCAUCACAAAGAUCAAUGCCACCUACAAAACUUAAUAUUGUUCUCUUUUGUCCUUGUUGUCCCGUAGCAGCACCAGCAACUUGGCUGUCAACAACUAGUCUUUUGGUGAUGAGUGAACAUUGUUGAAGUUUCAAAACCUUGCACUAUGCUUUUCCCAUCAUCCGGGUUCCGUGGACACAAAACACAAUUCACCUUUUUGUUUUUGAAGUAAUCAGCAGUUUCUUGAUCAUGAGCUGCCAUCAAGCCAUUUUUCUUGAAAUCUAGCACAGAGGUUCUGUCAUCCCAAACAAGCAUAAGAACCUUAACACCUUCCUCAGCUUUCAUCUUGGGCAGUUCCCCAAGGGUGAUUCUUGUUCUAGGCUUCAUUGGGUCCCUAAUCAAGGUUAUUUCAGUGUACACAGACCAACCAGUUAUAUGUAAAUAAAGUUCCUAGCACCCAUAAUGGCAUUGUAAAUAUCCUCCCAACAUUUCCUAUAUUACAAGGUUUUCCACUUGACAAGGAGAUCCAUGGCACAAAACCAUCUAAGAUUCUCGUCUAAAAUCUGGAACCAUCUGUCCACUAGGGCACGCAAAACUUGCUCAACUGGGACAUAAGCUCUUCCAAUUAGAGUUGCAUCAAUUGGAUCUUUUUGUUUGACAGUGAAUAUAACAUAGGAGAUCAAAUGGGCACAAUAUAUGUGAAAGGUCUCAUUCCAUGUGGGAUUGGAGGAUUGAUCAUUUAACAGUUUAGUCCUUCCAACCCUUGCCUCAUCUAAAUCAACUGUUGCAUAGAGACCCGUCUCGACAAACUGUGAAACAUUAUUACAAAUUGAGAUUUAGACUAAUUAGCUAGAAGGAAAUGUAAUUAAGUAUGGUGCUUAAAAUAAAAUGUCAAAUAGCUUAAAGCAAAGUAUGUCCAGAAUAUGAAGAUACCUCGGGCUGGCAUUAGCAUUGACAGAGCAAACAACUCUUGAGUUGGGAAAGAAAUCUCUUCCUCACGCUUCUACUUGUACCCUUGUUUACAAAAUUUGAAACCAGACAUGAUCAAAAACGCAAAUAAAACUUCAGAUAAUCCUCUUCACUAGAACAGAUACUAGACUAUAUAUUUGACACAUACUGAAGUAGUUCAUAUUAUGAUGACGAAUUUUUUAGAAAUGAAUUGUAACAACAAAUUAAUAAAUAUCAAACAACUAUGCACGUACUUGGAAUGCAAAGCUUAUUGCUAAAGAAGCUUUAAUCCAUCUACAUUAAUUAAACCGGAAAUAAUUAAGUUGAGUUAUUGUAUAUACAAGCAUAUAAGCAUAUAACUAGUUGAGUUUUUUUUUUUCAAAAAAAAUUUAAAAUUUAUUGAAUUUUAAAAUAAUUUAAAUGUUAAUUUAUGAUUGAAUAAUAAUGUAAAAUUAUUUUAUUAGCACAUAGACAUUAAACUUUUUUUUAAUGGUUGAAAUUAACUCUAAAUUUUUUACAGACUAAAUUCCACAAAGGAGGAAUAUAACCCGUAAUUUCUGUUACAGAUUGUUAUUGAGUGUAAGUAAAGAGGAAGGAAAGGAAAAUGACGAAUAUAUACAAUAAAAAUACUAAAUUUUCAUUUUUUAUUUGUGAGAAAAAAAUAGGAAAAAGAAUUUUUUUAAGACCUACAAGAAAAAAACUUACCUCCAAAGUGACAUGAAAUUGAGUGGUAGAAGAUCUCUCUCUUUUUCAUUUUUUUUCUAGUUUCAUAAAAAAUAAUAGAUUUUUGUAAUAUAUCAUAUAAAGAAUUCAAAAAUACAGUAAUAAAUAAUUUAAUGUUAAGAAAAAAUAUUGAAGUAAAAUUUUUAUUUUUUAGACUAAAUUUAAUUUUUUAAAAUUAGUAUAAAAAAAAUUCAUGCCAUUUUUCUUACUACUUCUAUUAGGGAAAAUUUUGUACUUUUUUCUUUCUUAAUUAUUUUCAUACAUUGAAAUUACAGAUUUUAUUUUAUUUUUAUCCUCCUUAUUUAAUUUUUCCUUUUCACUUCUAAUCUAAGCAGAGCAUUAAUAUAUAUACUAGUCUGUAACUAUAUUGAUAAAAGAAUUGAACAGGAGAGGGAGUUUUUCAAUUGAGGCACCUUGCAGCAGAGAUUGAAAUUCCACUCGUUAAGACUUGGUAAUGUGUCGAUCUCACGUAUGAUCACAUCGAGCCUCCCGUGCAGCAAAUGCCGCAUUAUGUUAUUUACUAUUAAGUUUGAUCUCCCUUUCUGUUUUGUGGGAAAAAAGGAGUGCAAUAUAUAAUAAGCCAAGAGAAGAAGGAUGCGACCAUAUCAACAGAAUACAUGCAUGUUACAGAUUUUAUGAAAUAGCUAAAAUCAAUGACACGCAACAAUGCAAAAGAGAAAUUAAAAAUGUUCUUACAUGGAAAUGGAGGUUAAGGAGUGGAAAAUGUAGACGAUGGUACGGUCCUUAAUCAUAAUGAAGGGCUCUUAAUAUAAUGCAUUUAUAUGCAGAGUAUUGGAGAUGAUGGGUACUGAAAAGGAGGAUAUGAUACAUAUUGUGUCUUAAUUCUCAAGCAAGAGAUAUAUACUGUGUAUAAACAUAACUUUGAAGAAUAGAGAUAUUCUUUUGCGAUUUCUCAACUUGGAAUUAGUUCCCGCCUUAACAUCCAAGGAAUGAAGGAGGCUUAGGUUUCCAUUGGACUAUGAUACACUAUUCUAAUGGGACCUGGAUGGGUUGGAAACUUAGAAUGUCUCAAACGUUGGAUUUGGAUGGAUGUGUUGGAAAUAUAUAUUCCUAAGUCAAAAAGUAUUUCAAGCAUUGUAGCAAAAAGUUGACAACAGAGCAUAACAGGCUGUGAUUUUGCCAUGCGUCUAACGUAUUGAAACUCGAAAGGAGUCACAGUCACGAAAAGAUCACACAAAAUCUAGGCAGUGUCCUGCGUGAGAAUGGGGAGCAUCUGCAGCAAAACGAUGUUAGUAUUUACAAAUGGCAACUAAUGUUUGAAUCAUAUUAAUUGACUUGUAAUUAUUUUAACUUAAUUAGUAGUUUUUUAUUUAAUUAUAUUAAAUAUUUGGAGGGAAAAUUUUGUUAUUUGUAAUAGUCUCAUGAACUUGGACAUGAUUGCUUUCCAUUAAAAAAAAAAAAAAAAGAAGAACCACCCUGAAUUCUCACGGAAAUAAUAACUUACCAGUAAUUAAAAAGUAAGAACCAAAAAAUAAGAAAGCUAUGUGUAACUUGUAAGAGCAUGCCAUGUGAGAGCUUUUAUAAUGACCUUAUAAUACUUCACAGUUUUAUCAUCUUCAUAUUUCUUUUUUAUUUACGACAUUUUGUUUGGUUUGAUUGAAUUUGAACAUAAAAUUUAAAAAUAAAAAUACAAAUAAUUUGUUAUUGGUUAAAAAUCCAACUAAAACCACGUUGUUAAAAUCACAAUAAUGGAAAUAUUUUAUAAUCGGUAAAUAGUUAAUUUAUAAUUAUAAGUGCCUUUAAGUUUCUAGUAUAUACUUUUAAUUUAUACAGAGUGAACAAAAGACGAGCAUGGCAUAGAAAAAAUUGAUGCUCAAUUUUGUAAUCAAUCAUUAAAGACUUUGAUAAAUUAAUUAUUAGUUUUUAAAUAUUUUUUUUGUGAAAACAACUUGUUAGUUUUUAUUUUUUACCAAUUCAUUGUUGUCCCAAGAAGUACGUAUCGACAAUUCUCAACAUGAUCGAGUAAGAUGGGCUUAAAAAAGGUAAGUGCAAGCCCUAGAAUAUUGAAACUGUUUCUCAGAUCUUAGAUGAGGCCCCUCCUUCCUGCACCCAAAAUCAAACCCCCAUCCCAUUAGCUAAGGCCAAGAACAUUCUAAUGUGUAGUUUUAAGACUCAAAUUCCUGGUAUUACAAGUAAGUUUCUGAUGAAACCCCCAAAUUAUGGAUCAAUUUUUGGCAUCUUUCAAAAUUUAGGAAUACGAAAAGGUGA
rnacentral:lncRNA from 1 species